CAGAUCCUGCAGAUGGGAAGAUGACAGCUCUUAAUGUCACUUUAACAGCACAUAUUACAGCUCAACCGCAAAUAAAACCGACGCAAUCAAACGACACAUAAAUGAGGAACCGAGUGCGGCACAAGACUCACCUAAGGAAUGUGUUUGGACCAUUACAUCUAGUCAUCAGAAGCAGAGCUGUGGGACGUGUGGACAGACAUUGACUGUAAUGAUGGACUUCUGCUGAUGGACAGCAUAACCCCUGCUG